rnacentral:rRNA from 1 species
CGCUGGCGGCGUGCCUAAUACAUGCAAGUCGAACGGUCUUUCUAUGGAAGCUUGCUUCCACUGAGAAGAUAGUGGCGAACGGGUGAGUAACACGUGGGUAACCUGCCCAUAAGAGGGGGAUAACAUCCGGAAACGGUGCUAAUACCGCAUAGUUUUCUUGAUUGCAUGAUUGAGAAGGAAAGACGGCCUUUGUGCUGUCGCUUAUGGAUGGACCCGCGGCGUAUUAGUUAGUUGGUGAGGUAACGGCUCACCAAGACGAUGAUACGUAGCCGACCUGAGAGGUGAUCGGCCACAUUGGGACUGAGACACGGCCCAAACUCCUACGGGAGGCAGCAGUAGGGAAUCUUCCGCAAUGGACGAAAGUCUGACGGAGCAACGCCGCGUGAGUGAAGAAAGGUUUUCGGAUCGUAAAACUCUGUUGUCAGAGAAGAACAAGUUGGAGAGUAACUGCUCCAGCCUUGACGGUAUCUGACCAGAAAGCCACGGCUAACUACGUGCCAGCAGCGGC